rnacentral:rRNA from 1 species
UACGUAGGGUGCAAGCGUUGUCCGGAAUUAUUGGGCGUAAAGAGCUCGUAGGCGGCCUGUCACGUCGGCUGUGAAAACCCGGGGCUCAACCCCGGGCCUGCAGUCGAUACGGGCAGGCUAGAGUUCGGCAGGGGAGACUGGAAUUCCUGGUGUAGCGGUGAAAUGCGCAGAUAUCAGGAGGAACACCGGUGGCGAAGGCGGGUCUCUGGGCCGAUACUGACGCUGAGGAGCGAAAGCAUGGGGAGCGAACAGG